rnacentral:rRNA from 1 species
AUUGAACGCUGGCGGCAGGCCUAACACAUGCAAGUCGAACGGUAACAGGAAGAAGCUUGCUUCUUUGCUGACGAGUGGCGGACGGGUGAGUAAUGUCUGGGAAACUGCCUGAUGGAGGGGGAUAACUACUGGAAACGGUAGCUAAUACCGCAUAACGUCGCAAGACCAAAGAGGGGGACCUUCGGGCCUCUUGCCAUCGGAUGUGCCCAGAUGGGAUUAGCUAGUAGGUGGGGUAACGGCUCACCUAGGCGACGAUCCCUAGCUGGUCUGAGAGGAUGACCAGCCACACUGGAACUGAGACACGGUCCAGACUCCUACGAGAGGCAGCAGUGGGGAAUAUUGCACAAUGGGCGCAAGCCUGAUGCAGCCAUGCCGCGUGUAUGAAGAAGGCCUUCGGGUUGUAAAGUACUUUCAGCGGGGAGGAAGGGAGUAAAGUUAAUACCUUUGCUCAUUGACGGUACCCGCAGAAGAAGCACCGGCUAACUCCGUG